GCGCGCAUAGCUCAGUGGUAGAGCGCUUCGUUCACAUCGAAGAGGCCCAUGGUUCAAGUCCAUGUGCGCGCA
rnacentral:tRNA from 1 species